rnacentral:sRNA from 1 species
AUUCUGCCCAUGCGGGGAAGGAUGAGAAGCUUCAACCAAGGUUCGACUUGAGCGCCAGCGAGAGAGCGUUGCCGCAGGCAACGACCCGAAGGGCGAAGCGCGCAGCGCUGAGUAAUCCUUCGCCCACCACCA